UGUUGGGUUCGAACCCUGGACCUUUUGGUCAUAUUGCUUCCACAGUUCUUUUAAAGGCAAAAACGUGUUCAAUGAGUUUGACACUUCUUCCCUUUUUAAAUAACAACAUUAUACUGGAUCAUGACACGUGUGAUGAUGGUGGCCGUUGGAUCAGGCUUCUGGAUGCUUCUGAUAUUAUUUACUCUGUUUGGACUCAUUUUUACUCAGCUGAAUCGUCAUUUUCUUUCAAGGGUUUUCUCUC
rnacentral:lncRNA from 1 species